rfam:Camelus ferus unplaced genomic scaffold scaffold886, whole genome shotgun sequence.
GAGGGUAUAGCUCAAGUGGUAGAGCACAUGCCUAGCAUUCAUAAGGUCCCGGGUUCAAUCCCCAGUACCUCCU